rnacentral:rRNA from 1 species
UACGAAGGGGGCUAGCGUUGGUCGGAAUUACUGGGCGUAAAGCGCGCGUAGGCGGCUUUGCAAGCCAGAGGUGAAAUGCCUGAGCUUAACUUGGGAAUUGCCUUUGGGACUGCGAGGCUUCGAGGACGGGAGAGGUGAGUGGAAUUCCCAGUGUAGAGGUGUAUUCGUAGAUAUUGGGAAGAACACCGGUGGCGAAGGCGGCUCACUGGCCCGUUUCUGACGCUCAAGCGCGAAAGCGUGGGGAUCAAACAGG